rnacentral:rRNA from 1 species
UACGUAGGUGGCAAGCGUUGUCCGGAUUUACUGGGUGUAAAGGGCGUGUAGACGGGUUUGCAAGUCAGAUGUGAAAUACCGCAGCUUAACUGCGGGGCUGCAUUUGAAACUGCAAAUCUUGAGUGCGGGAGAGGAAAGCGGAAUUCCUAGUGUAGCGGUGAAAUGCGUAGAUAUUAGGAGGAACACCAGUGGCGAAGGCGGCUUUCUGGACCGUAACUGACGUUGAGGCGCGAAAGCGUGGGUAGCAAACAGG